rnacentral:rRNA from 1 species
GGGUUGUGAGGUUAAGCGACUAAGCGUACACGGUGGAUGCCCUGGCAGUCAGAGGCGAUGAAGGACGUGCUAAUCUGCGAUAAGCGUCGGUAAGGUGAUAUGAACCGUUAUAACCGGCGAUUUCCGAAUGGGGAAACCCAGUGUGUUUCGACACACUAUCAUUAACUGAAUCCAUAGGUUAAUGAGGCGAACCGGGGGAACUGAAACAUCUAAGUACCCCGAGGAAAAGAAAUCAACCGAGAUUCCCCCAGUAGCGGCGAGCGAACGGGGAGGAGCCCAGAGCCUGAAUCAGUGUGUGUGUUAGUGGAAGCGUCUGGAAAGGCGCGCGAUACAGGGUGACAGCCCCGUACACAAAAAUGCACAUACUGUGAGCUCGAUGAGUAGGGCGGGACACGUGGUAUCCUGUCUGAAUAUGGGGGGACCAUCCUCCAAGGCUAAAUACUCCUGACUGACCGAUAGUGAACCAGUACCGUGAGGGAAAGGCGAAAAGAACCCCGGCGAGGGGAGUGAAAAAGAACCUGAAACCGUGUACGUACAAGCAGUGGGAGCCUCUUUUAUGGGGUGACUGCGUACCUUUUGUAUAAUGGGUCAGCGACUUAUAUUCUGUAGCAAGGUUAACCGAAUAGGGGAGCCGAAGGGAAACCGAGUCUUAACUGGGCGUUAAGUUGCAGGGUAUAGACCCGAAACCCGGUGAUCUAGCCAUGGGCAGGUUGAAGGUUGGGUAACACUAACUGGAGGACCGAACCGACUAAUGUUGAAAAAUUAGCGGAUGACUUGUGGCUGGGGGUGAAAGGCCAAUCAAACCGGGAGAUAGCUGGUUCUCCCCGAAAGCUAUUUAGGUAGCGCCUCGUGAAUUCAUCUCCGGGGGUAGAGCACUGUUUCGGCAAGGGGGUCAUCCCGACUUACCAACCCGAUGCAAACUGCGAAUACCGGAGAAUGUUAUCACGGGAGACACACGGCGGGUGCUAACGUCCGUCGUGAAGAGGGAAACAACCCAGACCGCCAGCUAAGGUCCCAAAGUCAUGGUUAAGUGGGAAACGAUGUGGGAAGGCCCAGACAGCCAGGAUGUUGGCUUAGAAGCAGCCAUCAUUUAAAGAAAGCGUAAUAGCUCACUGGUCGAGUCGGCCUGCGCGGAAGAUGUAACGGGGCUAAACCAUGCACCGAAGCUGCGGCAGCGACACUAUGUGUUGUUGGGUAGGGGAGCGUUCUGUAAGCCUGUGAAGGUGUGCUGUGAGGCAUGCUGGAGGUAUCAGAAGUGCGAAUGCUGACAUAAGUAACGAUAAAGCGGGUGAAAAGCCCGCUCGCCGGAAGACCAAGGGUUCCUGUCCAACGUUAAUCGGGGCAGGGUGAGUCGACCCCUAAGGCGAGGCCGAAAGGCGUAGUCGAUGGGAAACAGGUUAAUAUUCCUGUACUUGGUGUUACUGCGAAGGGGGGACGGAGAAGGCUAUGUUGGCCGGGCGACGGUUGUCCCGGUUUAAGCGUGUAGGCUGGUUUUCCAGGCAAAUCCGGAAAAUCAAGGCUGAGGCGUGAUGACGAGGCACUACGGUGCUGAAGCAACAAAUGCCCUGCUUCCAGGAAAAGCCUCUAAGCAUCAGGUAACAUCAAAUCGUACCCCAAACCGACACAGGUGGUCAGGUAGAGAAUACCAAGGCGCUUGAGAGAACUCGGGUGAAGGAACUAGGCAAAAUGGUGCCGUAACUUCGGGAGAAGGCACGCUGAUAUGUAGGUGAAGUCCCUCGCGGAUGGAGCUGAAAUCAGUCGAAGAUACCAGCUGGCUGCAACUGUUUAUUAAAAACACAGCACUGUGCAAACACGAAAGUGGACGUAUACGGUGUGACGCCUGCCCGGUGC